UCAAGACUUGAGAUAUCCGCUUUCGCGCGAAAACGGUAAGAAUGAAAGCGGGCACUCCCGACCACGCUCUAAACCUCUACAAAACCCUGGCACAACGUGCCGGCGCCGGUGCCGGUGCCGGCCAUCCCCAGCACCACUCCUCCUUCGGCACCCACGCAGCCGUCUUCGCCAUCAAAUCCUGCUCCUCUUCUCCCCAAAGCCCCAUCCUCAUUCACCACCUCCACUCCCACCUCCUCAAAACCAACCUCUUCUCUGACAUCUACGUCGCCACCGCCCUCCUCCACGCCUACUCCCUCUCUUCCCUUCCCAAUGCCCGCCUCCUGUUCGACGAAAUGCCCCACAGAAACGUCGUCACGUCAAACACCAUGAUCACUUGCUUGGCGCGGCACGAUGACCUCUCCGCCGCGCGGUCGCUGUUCAACAGCAUGCCGGAAAGAGACAUCGCGUCUUGGUCCGCCAUUAUCGGUGGGUACAUGGCUAGAAGUUGUCGAACUCAGGGGCUUGCUCUCUUCCGUGAUAUGAUGGCGCUUGGGCAGGUAAUCCCCGACCAGCUCAUUCUUGUGACUGUUCUCUCUGGUUGUGCCAGCACGGGGUCAUUCACUUUGCUUGGAAAAUCCAUCCAUGGUUACUGUGUGAAGCAUGAUUUGGAGAUCAAUGUUCAGCUGGGGACUUCUCUUAUUGACAUGUAUAUGAAAUGUGGAUGCUUGAUGAGUGCUUUCAAGGUUUUUGAGAGAAUGCCUGAGAGAAAUGUCAUGCAUUGGACUGCUAUGAUUUGUGGGCUGGCUUUGCAUGGGCAUGGGGAUGAUGCCCUUGCCUUCUUUAGAGAGAUGAGACUGGCUGGAGUAAGGCCCAAUGAGAUCACAUUCACUGGGGUUUUGAAUGCUUGUUGUCAUGCUGGUUUGGUAGAAGAAGGGCAGAAGUAUUUUGAUAGUAUGGUUGAGGAGUUUGGGUUUGAGCCUGGGAUUCAUCAUUAUGGAUGCAUGGUUGAGUUGUUUGCGAAGGUCGGGAGGUUGGAGGAUGCUUAUGGUGUCAUUCAAAGUAUGAAAGUUGAGCCGAAUAUUGUUGUUUGGACUUCGCUUUUGGCAGCUUGCAAGAAGCAUGGGAAGUUUGAGGUUGCAGAGAAGGUGAUCGACAAGGUUUUAGUAGUUGUCGAUCCGGAUGAGGAUGGAGGUAUUUAUACAUUGAUAUCAGAUUUGUAUGCUAUGGUUGGCAGGUGGAGUGAUGCGGAGCGAGUAAGAAUGCUGAUGGAUGAGAAUAAUGUGAAGAAGAAUAGGGGUUCUAGUUUCAUUUAGUUCAAAAGACACGGGGAUGCCAGUUGGUAUGCACAGGUUUAUCUUCUUGACUUAAGAGAAACAAUACCCAGGUAGAAUUCACAAACUAUCGGCAAGUGAUGUUUUUUGGAGAAUUUGCUUGCUUGAUGGAAUUGAUUAUUGAAUUCUUAAAUAAUCAUAUUGUUUUUGGUGGUAUAAUGAUAUUUCAUUUCUGUCCGUCCCUUAGCUAUUGUAUCAUUAGCAAGCAUGAACAACGGACUCCUCAGAGGAGAUAUCCUAGUUUCAAGGCAUGACUGGUCUCCAUGGUUAUUGAAGUCAAUUGUUCACAAUGAUAUCCAGACCCAAGACAUUGACCCAGAACACCUUCAUGUCAGGAUUAAAGCAUUGAUGUCAAGCUAUGGCUUUUUCGAUACAAAAAUGAAAAAACUGAAAACAUCUGUUAACAUGUUUGUAUCUCUGCGACAGAACUUAAAGUUGUUUCAGGAACCGAGCAGAUGUUAUCAUUAGAAUGAACUAUUGCUUGUGUGGUGUUAGUUUUCCAGAACACGUGUUACAGGACAGAGCUGAAUGAAUGAAUGCACAUGAUCUCAUGAAACAAUUUUGUGGUUGAAAAUUAGUUUCUUCAUUUAAUUUAUGGAAUUAUAAAGAAUCAUCACUCUUUGUAACUAUGCUUACCAUGCUAAAAGCAACUGACUCAUAACUUUGAAUUCUGUUGCAUUUGAUUCUUGCUGAAGAGCAGAGGACUUUACCUGAAUCAAUUAUGUCUAGCAGGUUGUUUUUGCAGGUCACUUAAGUCAUCUAUGAACAGACAACACACAAUUGCAUGUCUGGUAAUACAUCUCCAUUAUCACUUUUGAACAAUAUUAUGACACUUUGGCAGCUCCUUUCAGGGUCAAAGAGGAAGCCCCCACCUCGUCCGCCCUCCUGGAAACCAACUGCUCAGCCAUUCCCUUAAACCAAUGAAAAGAGAAAAUUUUCUGUGACACCGGCUCAAAUAAACAAGACAAACAAGUCACACUAGACCAAAGACCGGUCAAUGAGGCUGAUCAGAUGAACUCACCAAACAACGACAGCAUAGGAGUUGCACAU